rnacentral:rRNA from 1 species
CUGCGAAUGGCUCAUUAAAUCAGUUAUCGUUUAUUUGAUAGUACCUUACUACUUGGAUACCUGUGGUAAUUCUAGAGCUAAUACAUGCUAAAAACCCCAACUUCGGGAGGGGUGUAUUUAUUAGAUAAAAAACCAAUGCCCCUCGGGGCUCCUUGGUGAUUCAUAAUAACUUCUCAGAUCGCAUGGCCUUGCGCCGGCGACGGUUCAUUCAAAUUUCUGCCCUAUCAACUUUCGAUGGUAAGGUAGUGGCUUACCAUGGUUUCAACGGGUAACGGGGAAUUAGGGUUCGAUUCCGGAGAGGGAGCCGGAGGAACGGCUACCACAUCCAAGGAAGGCAGCAGGCGCGCAAAUUACCCAAUUCCGAUACGGAGAGGUAGUGACAAUAAAUACUGAUACAGGGCUCUUUUGGGUCUUGUAAUUGGAAUGAGUACAAUUUAAACCUCUUAACGAGGAACAAUUGGAGGGCAAGUCUGGUGCCAGCAGCCGCGGUAAUUCCAGCUCCAAUAGCGUAUAUUAAAGUUGUUGCAGUUAAAAAGCUCGUAGUUGAACCUUUGGCCUGGCUGGCAGGUCCGCCUCACCGCGUGCACUUGUCCGGCCGGGCCUUUUCUUCUGGGCAACCGCAUGCCCUUCACUGGGUGUGUUGGGGACCAGGACUUUUACUUUGAAAAAAUUAGAGUGUUCAAAGCAGGCCUUUGCUCGAAUACGUUAGCAUGGAAUAAUAGAAUAGGACGUGCGGUCCUAUUUUGUUGGUUUCUAGGACCGCCGUAAUGAUUAAUAGGGACAGUCGGGGGCAUCAGUAUUCAAUUGUCAGAGGUGAAAUUCUUGGAUUUAUUGAAGACUAACUACUGCGAAAGCAUUUGCCAAGGAUGUUUUCAUUAAUCAGUGAACGAAAGUUAGGGGAUCGAAGACGAUCAGAUACCGUCGUAGUCUUAACCAUAAACUAUGCCGACUAGGGAUCGGGCGGUGUUUCUAUUGUGACCCGCUCGGCACCUUACGAGAAAUCAAAG